CUGAAAUCCUCUCAGGCAUUCAAAAGAUUCCAAAUAUCCUAAACAAGUACUCCUCGAAAAUUUCCACUGAAAAAUCUCUUAAGGCAAAAGAAAGAUGUCUUACCGUUGGGGGCCUGGGACCCUGACUCAAAGAAGCUGCCUGAAAGGCCAUGUGCCUGCUGGAUCUGUAACUGUCACCCUGAGACUCUAAGAGCAAUGCCAAGAGAACUGCGGGGCCACGUUGACCUGUGGAUCUGAGUGUCGCGACUGUUGACUUCUGACUUCUCCUUAUGGAAGAAAACAAAACCCUCAUUUGUUUAAGCUAUUGUUGAAAAUAUUCCCAAUGCCUUCUGAUGAACUGAAGAGUGAACCAAAGGUUCACUAUCUGGCAGUCCCCAGACUGGACACCAGGCAAACAAAUGAACGUAAUGACACCCUGUACACAAAUUCACAGUUGCCUGCUCACAUUCCUCAGCACCCCUUGGGCUAUGUCAAGGAAUCAGCUAACUCUGGGAAAUACAGCUAAGAUGGCUUUGUCAUUUGAGCUAAAGUGUGACAGGAGCAGAUGGAAAGACCAGAAGCUUAAUGGGAAUUAAAGGCAUGCACUCUACUUUAUCCCAUUCAUGUUUGAUAUAUUUGAUCUAUUGUUCAUAAACAUAUUACCUUUAAGGAUAUAGUUCCGAUUUUUUGCUAUAAAACCCAUUGAAAUCAGUUUCAAGAUAUUUUUUCUAAGGCUUUUUCAACAUAAGAGAAAAUUUCCUUGUAAGUUCUCUUACACCCAUAGAAGAAGCAUUUCUCUAUAACUUCAAAAAAUGAUAUGCUAUCUUGCAGCUUCUAUAUCUUUUAGAAAUAAAUGCUUCUAACUCAGGAGCCUUGAAUUGGAAACAUUGUGUGUAUAAUACUGAUGAAACUCAUGUAACUAUUUGAGCUUGAUUUCAGGAUACUUUUAUAUUUUGGCCAUUGAGAAAACUUUGGAGAAUUUUACAAAGUCAGUGAAAAUUAGUAACAUCUUCCUUGGAAUUACUACUACCAGAAGCCUAAACCUUCACAAAUUGACUCAUUUGUUCGUCUGAGAAAUCUACCAACUUAUCUUCCCAAGUUCCCAAUCUAAGGACUUCAAAUAUUUUGCCGAAUUCCUACUUUCCUUCCCUGAGCCAAAACUAGUUGCUCAGAAACUUUCAGAAAACAGAAUGCCAAAAUAAUUCUGAAAGUCCAUAUGUUGUCAUAUACAAGUAUAGGACUUUUUACGGACACAAAAAACUGAUAUUUUAUUUUCCAGAGAAAACCAUGGACUAAACGUCUUGAAAAUACACACAGUGUUCCUAGCACCACUGCAUAAAGUAGAAGCUCUGGAAAUGUAAAUACUUUCAAUAAAGCGCACUGUGGGUGCGUUAUUUCAUUUCAGUACUGUUUAAAAUUAAUUUAUCAUUGAAAGCACAUUUUAGAGUGAGUUUCCAUAAAUCUCCAUAUUUAGAAAUUCAAAAGUGUCUUUAGCAUGCUCAUUCACUUUGUUACUUUCAUAAUUUCCAACAAGCAAAGUUUCUUUUCUUAAUGAAAGUGGUAUUUU